UACGUAGGGGGCGAGCGUUGUCCGGAUUUAUUGGGCGUAAAGGGCGCGUAGGCGGUCUGCUAAGCGUGUGGUGAAAGCUCGGGGCUCAACCCCGAGUCGGCCGUGCGAACUGGUGGACUCGAGCACGUCAGAGGCAGGCGGAAUUCCGGGUGUAGCGGUGGAAUGCGUAGAGAUCCGGAAGAACACCGGUGGCGAAGGCGGCGACCUGGGCCUGAACUGACGCUGAGGAGCGAAAGCUAGGGGAGCAAACGGG
rnacentral:rRNA from 1 species